ACGCGGUUUCCUCACUCUUCUCCCUUUCUCUGCCCGGCGCCACCACCCCUCACCUCGCCGCGCCGCAGGCUGGACUCAUCGGGCUUGGCACCGAUGGCGACGGCCGACGCCGCCUUCCCUCACCACAGCGGACACAGACGGACGUCUCUCCCCUGGUUUCUCACCGAACGACAGGAGCAGAGCCCCACCACUGUGGCAACAAUGGACAAGGAAAAGGGGAAGGACAGUAGGAGGAGAAGGAGAAGGAGAGGAGCUUGGUGUCCAUUAUGAAGACUAAGCCGCUUGUCCCAGGAAGCAGAAGGGGAAGGGCAUGGGCAAGGGUUGUGUCGCUGCAGAGGAAGCGGGCCAAGGAUUACGGCAAUGUCCCGCUCGCCGAAUUGUUAUUAAGGGUAAAAAAAGCUCCGCGGCCUUGACGUCUCGCUGACCCUGCCGACGCCAAGAUCCGCACCAACCCCACUGUCCGCCGCUGGAUGGCGGAUCUCAAGACCGCCGCCUACCAAGCCGACCACGUCCUCGAAAACUUCCGCUAUGAGGCGCUGCGGUGCUGUGCCGACGACCACAUCCGCGGCCCCUUCUCCGUGAGUCCUUGUCUCUAUUUUCAGUUUAAUUUGGAAAUGGAUUUUCUGUUUAAUUUGGAAGUGGAAGCCCCGUAAUCUAUGGAAAUUGAAGGCUUUUAAUUUUACUGAAAUUAAAGAUGGUCCUGUGUGGCUCUGUUGUUUUCAUUCAGUUUAUAAGUGACUACAAUUCCUGGCUACAUAAGCGUCAGUCUGUCAAGUGUCAAGUGUCAAAUUUCAGAGGACACUUGAAAUCUGAGCAUCAAAGAGGUUCAGUCAGUCUGUCCAGUGUCAAUAACACUUGAGAUAUUUGUCGAACACGUUCUGUAGUAGAAACGGAAUCCUACAUCUUCACCGGUAUGGUUGUGCCAAAUAUGUGUGUCCAAGCUCCCGUGUUUGCUGUUUUUGCUAUCCAAAGGUCAAAUAUAUGUGUGUGCAAGCUCAUGUAUGUGUUGUUUUUGGUAUCCAAAAGUCAAAUAUAAGUUUGUACAAGCUCAUGCAUAUGCUGUUUUUGGUAUCCAAAAGUCAAAUAUAUGUUUGUACAAGCUCAUGUAUGUGCUGUUUUUGCUAUCAAAAAGUCAAAUAUAUGCGUGUCCAAGUUCAUGUGUGUGCUGUUUUUGUGUGCUAGGCAAUGAAGCAUGAUAAGCAAGCGGAGAAGGAUUAUGAAGAGGAGGAAGACAAUGAGGAGGACGAGGAUGAGCAAGGUACUGUGUUUGAGGAGGAGGAAGAUUCUCAUUUUGAUGUCAAAGCGCCAAGUGUUAUGCUAUGCAAAAUUGCAUUGUUUGGCUAUCAACGUUCAAUAUUUUUGCUGUAUAAAGUUCAAAGGAGGAGCUGUCCAAAAUUCAAAAGCAAUGAUGCCCAAUUCUUUUCAUCACUAUGACCAUUUUUUAAACCAUA